AUUCCAGCUCCAAUAGCGUAUACUAAAGUUGUUGCAGUUAAAAAGCUCGUAGUUGAAUUUCUGGUCUCGGGCUUCGGUCUGCCUCAAACGAGGUACGCACCAGUUGUCUGAAUCCAUCCUCGGGGAGAACAUAUGUGUCAUUAAUUUGAUGUGUAUGGGAUCCUCGUCAUUUACUGUGAGCAAAAUAGAGUGUUCAAAGCAGGCUUAUGCCGUUGAAUACAUUAGCAUGGAAUAAUAAGAUAGGACCUUGGUCUAUUUUGUUGGUUUGUACUCCAAGGUAAUGAUUAAUAGGGAUAGUUGGGGGUAUUCGUAUUCAAUUGUCAGAGGUGAAAUUCUUGGAUUUAUGGAAGACGAACUACUGCGAAAGCAUUUACCAAGGAUGUUUUCAUUA
rnacentral:rRNA from 1 species